rnacentral:misc_RNA from 1 species
GUACCAAAGUGGGUUCAAUUGAUCAAAUAACAGAAAAUAAAGAAGAUCACUUUGAAAGGGAUAAUGAUGUUUCCAGGCAUACUGGAAGCUUUAAACAUAAGGAUAGUGAUAGAGGGGGAGCAGAGCAGAAUUCUGAGAUUGUUCUGCCUCAGAGAAAGAGAAUUUCUUUGACAAGAAUGUCUGACACUUCUAUAUGGAUUACUGGUGAAAGCGGGUCUAUCUAUGAGAGAUUCUGGAAUGGUGUACACUGGGUGAUAGCACCCCAUGACCUGCCGGUAUCGGCAGGUUAUGCAAUUUGUGUCUUUAUUGUCAAUCAGACAAUUCUUGCUCUAUCA